rnacentral:rRNA from 1 species
UACGAAGGGUGCAAGCGUUACUCGGAAUUACUGGGCGUAAAGCGUGCGUAGGUGGUUUGUUAAGUCUGUUGUGAAAGCCCCGGGCUCAACCUGGGAAUGGCAAUGGAUACUGGCAGGCUAGAGUGCGGUAGAGGGUAGUGGAAUUCCCGGUGUAGCGGUGAAAUGCGUAGAGAUCGGGAGGAACACCAGUGGCGAAGGCGGCUACCUGGACCAGCACUGACACUGAGGCACGAAAGCGUGGGGAGCA